UACAAGGUUAUCAAAGUCAUGCAGCGCAUGCUUGCAUGCGAAUGCAUGACCUUGAGAACCGAACAAACAUGAGGAAGGAGUAUUUUACGAAGUAAAAUGCGGGAUUCCGAAUGGUUGUAGCAUUGCGGGAGUGCGAAGCACGGAGCAAUGCGUAGUAU
rnacentral:sRNA from 1 species